CCCUUAGAUGUUCUGGGCUGCACGCGCGCUACACUGAAGCUAUCAACACGUUUUCCCUCCCUGAGAAGGGCGGGUAACCUUUUGAAUCAGCUUCGUGGUAGGGAUCGGGGCUUGCAAUUGUUCCCCGUGAACCAGGAAUUCCUAGUAGACGCGAGUCAUAAGCUCGCAUCGAUUAAGUCCCUGCCCUUUGUACACACCGCCCGUCGCUACUACCGAUUGAACGUUUUUGUGAGGCAUUUGGACCGACGCAUCUCAGUUUAACCGCUGGUUUGUGUUGGAAAGACUUCCAAACUUGAGCGUUUAGAGGAAGUAAAAGUCGUAACA
rnacentral:rRNA from 1 species